rnacentral:sRNA from 1 species
GAUAAAAAUUAGGCGGAUGUUUUGAAACAAGUUUGGACCUGGGGGAUGAUGAGAAAAAAUUAAUGUUUUGCAUGCCACAGCGAAAACAAAGAUGGCUUUGCAAACAAGACAAGACAUAAAUUUUCAGGGAAUUUUCAAAAAAUUAGGCCAUAACUUGGAGGAAAUUAGAGUAAGAAGUCUUGAAAAUCUUCUCUCAAAGUUGGAGCAUAAUUUAGUAUGUGACUCAGACCUGGUCAAUGAGCGCCAUCUCAUGAUUAGACUCAUUGAGUGGUUUAAUUUUCCGAAUCCCUCAAAGCAAGGAGAUGUGCUUCAUCUUCUUUUGAGAUUAUCAAAGCAUUCUUCUGCUGCUCAAAUUCUCCAAGACAUUGGAGCAAUUGAAUUUCUGAGCCAGUUACGAUCAGAUGUUCCAAAGUCUUUGCAACCCAUAGUUGAUCAAAUCCUUGAAAACACUAUGAGAUUGCCAGAGGUGGCAGAUGAAACCCUUAGUCCUACCUGUACUUAUCAGAGGAGGGGGUUCGGCACAGUUUCAGAAGCAGGAGGAGCACUUACUGCUAGUGAUGGGGCCUCUGAAGUCGCUCCGUCACUUACAUCAGUCUCAACACUACCACCCCAGGAACUUAUGGAUCCUCCACACAUAAUCACAGGGAGGGAGAAUUCUGAUGGCUACUUCAAAGACAAAGUUUAUCUACUGCAAGAACAACAAAGGGAGAACAAUGAUGGUGUGUCUAAUACUUUCCUUGCAACCACCUUCCCUUGGUUAGCUUUGACUUCCACAGACAGACAUGUUAUUCAGUCAACAAACUCUUCCUUACAAAGUAGAGAGUCUCAUCUUUUGGCUAGUUCCUGUGAAUUUCUAAGUGAUGUGGUAUUUCAAGAUUUUCCUGCAGAGAUAUUUUUACAAAGACCUAAUAUUGUUCGGAAUCUGCUAGGACUUCUGGGAGCAGUUCCAGAUGUUAACACACACUUGACUAUUCAUGCAGCCAAAACCCUUGGUGACCUGACUUCUGCUUUGAGGUCAAGGUUAAGAUAUUAUCAAGACCCAUCGUUGUUCACGUCAAAGCAAGAUUUCAGUUCGUCUUCCUCUUCGCCUUUCUCCAACUCCCCGAGCAUACUGUCUAACCAGUCGGGGAGGACAGACAGUCACAGUCCACUGGCAGGGUGGGGAGACACCCGCCCCCGGGGAGAUGGGCGGGAAGUUGACUCCUCUUCCUCAGUCAGUUCUGCCAAUUCCCGCAAUUCCAGUGUCAGUAUUGGACCUGAUGUGACAAACCCAGAGGAGACGGACAUUGACGACAUGAGAUCCUUACAGAGCAUGCAGAUUACCCUCCCCCAGUACUGCUCCCUGGUCCUGGAGAAGGCGGUCCCCCUCCUCAAGACGGGGGCCGAGGGCGUGGUCACACAGCUCAUGUAUCUCCUCAACCAGGUACUGGAAAUCCUCACCAGCAUCGUUACCAUGGAGAUCUGGCAAGAUGUGUCGUCAAGAGCAAGAGAAAUUGCUGAGAGAUUAUCAGCAACAUUUGAGGCACUAGGUGAUGUGAUAAACUAUCAUCACCAUGGGGAGGUAAGCCGCGGGAAUCCGGAGAAGGACAAGGGCGACGUUAUACAACACAGAUUGGCGUUCAUAGGAGUCACAGGAUUCACCUCCAGACUGCUGAAGCAAUUAGUUCCAGUACAGCAGGGGAGAAAACUCUUGCCUGCCACUCUGGUUAAGUCCAUGGAGUUGGUGAUCUUUGAUGAAGCGCUGGCUUACAGUUACCCAGACAUCCAGAUCACAGUCCUGGCCUACAUACAGAAUCUGAGUCCAGACAAGUACACCCUGUUUGUGGACACGGCCAAGAUAUCCCAGUCUGUCCAGAAAUCGUGUCAGUUCCUGAUGCUUUGUCAGGAGGAGGCGUACAAAGGAAGCAGUGAGCUGAUUGACAUGGCAGAAGCUUCAAUCCAGAGCCUGCCUUACCACCUCCAUCUUCCACUGGUGUCAGAAUUUGUCAAACUCUCAUCCUCCAUUUGUGCCCGAACUUCCCAAGACAAGGCCCUUCAGAACAAAUGUGUGGAGGUCCUGCUGAAGUUUCUGUCUCAUCCGUUGCCUGAGGUUAAAGAACAGACCUACAGCACCAUCAAACAAGUUGUCAAGGGCUCCCUCAAUGUGAACGAGGCAGCAGACCCCAGCUCUAGAGCCUGCUAUUUGUCCCGCUUCCUGUUCAGUUCUAACAUCAUGUAUGAAAUCAUUGUGUUUGGGUUGAAUGACUCCAAUCCCAAGGUGAGCCAGACAGCCUCUGAUGUCAUCUGCCACAUCCUGGACGGUCAGCUGUUGAUGACAGAGGAUCUAUGGAAGGAGGUCCUCAAUGCUUUGAUGAGGUCACUUCCUGUUUUAGAGACAUAUGUUGAUAUGGGGACAAAGCUUGGAUCCACCCUCCUGUCACUGACUGAUCCUACAGAGGUCCAGGCCGAGGGAGGACUAGUGUACUUAGAGAAGCUGAGAGGCUGUCUCAGAAUGAUGUUUUCUACAGAUGUCAGAGCAAGAGCUGAGGCCUUGAAGCGGUUGGCUUGGUUUUUGUCCAAUGAACAAGACAGCAAUGAGAAGUUGCCGAUAUUUGCCUCCUUGGACGUCACAAACUUAACCAGCAUUUUCAUUGUGGACAUGCAGAGGUCUCUAGAUGAAGAUUUAGGAAGAUCUGUAUUUCAGAUUGAUGGAAUGAGAAAGGUAUAUGAAAUCUUUAGCUCCUCAUCCGUGGACCCCUCAGUGAAGAAGUCGGCAGUGGACCAGCUGGCAAUCAUCUUACAGGAUCACAAUCUACACGCCCCGUUCAAAGCGGAAGGAGGGGUGGAAACUGUCCUCAAACACCUGAAGCUGGGUCUGGUCAGAAACGAUGACGCUCAGAGUGAAUACAUACACUACCUCCCUGCCUGUGCAGCUAUCCUGAGAUCCCUAGUUCACUUUGAUUACAAACUGAGACACAGACUCGCCCGAGAUCAGGAAGUUUAUCUUGUACUACUUAGAGUUGCUUUCCUGCACCAGAGAGAUGAGAGAACAUGCUAUGAAGUUGCUCAUAUUCUGAUAUUAUUGCUAUUUGAUGAAGUGGCCAAGUUUGAUCUUGGUGGAGGAACAGUUCCUGUUGUUCAUUUCUCCAUACCCAGUGUACUGAGGAAAAGGUGCCGCCUCCCAUUCCGCCCAGCUUGUCACCAUGACAACAGUCCCCACACGGUGGAACUACCCCCAGAUCCCGACCCUGUACAGACAGACAGACCGCUGGAAAUGCUACGAAUCUCUUGGAAUGUGGCUUGGCAUGGAGGGAUGGAAAAACUAUUGAAACAUUUGGCUCAGAGCAAAAAUAGCAGUCAAAAAGACAAGAUGACAGAAUUUUCUCCAAGAUUGCAGCUGAGCUUUAUAGAGAGGAAAAUCGUACAGUGUAGUCAUUUAGCAGAGGGGAUAAAGCAGACUCUGUACAGUGUGUCUAACGCCACGUCCCACAAUGCCGUGAGUGCAGCGCUCGGACAGCUCCUCAGUUAUCUCGUCAACUCUUAUGGUUAUGCAGGGUCAGAGGUCAUGUUCGGUCAAGAGUGGCUGUCCAGCAUUGGCAGGUUUCUGAAGGUACACCCAUCAAUGCCUGAUGAUGAAUCACUCCUUCAGGAGGUCCUUCGAUUCAUCAGUAUGGCCCUGAGGCUGUCAGGUGAGGUGACAGAGGGCACCUUGCAGGCUCUGGGAGAGGUCCUGUACCAGCCAUCGGGACCUCUGAUUGGCCUGUCUCAUAGGACCUCAGUUAGGGGGGAAACCCGGGACGUCCCUGAAAAUGUCAACAUCAAGAGAACUUUGGACAAAGAACUGCUUUCUUUUAUCUCCACCUACAACUGUAAACUUCCCUAUGUCCUCUGUAGAAGACUUAAGUUCCAACAGCUGCGGGGGGACCUCUGUCAUCAGCUGUUACAGCGCCUCAAUGUGACUGACGCACCUCACUUCUACAACCUGGCCUCAUUGGAGGGAACACUGCAGUGUCUUAUGCAUGUCACUGCCAGACCUGGUUGGAGCUCUGAGAGUACAGAACUUGGGGGGAGGCACUGUGUAGUCAACUUCUGGCCUGUCUCCUCGAGGUUGUGUCUGCCUUUCAUAUUGGCCGAGGAGGGACCUCAAUGUCAUACAUGGGAAAAGGUGUCACUAAGGCAGCCACCAUGUGUCUGAGGCAUUUAGCGUAUGAAAUGUCAACUACUGCAGAAAAUAAGAAAUGGGCCGAACAGUGGAUAUAUGUACAGCAACGGGCUGACGGACAGAACAGUGCAGAAGUGGAGGAACACCAGGGCCUGGACUGGUUAUUAACUUUGUGGUCCUACCGGGAUCCUGAGGUGAGAGUAGCUGGACUUGGUAUUGGAGUGGCCUUGACCUUAACAGAGAGUGGACGGACAGUGCUAACCUCUCACUGUAUCCACAUUCCAGGCGGAGUCUGGGGAGUGGCUUUUAGUAUUCUUCUCGACCAAUCAGAAUGCAGUAUGGUCAGACAGCAGGCGGCUUUACUGUUGGUAAACAUGACAUCGCAACCGAUGCCCUGCGGCAGUGUCGAGAUGGAGGAGAAUGUGUGGCAGGGACCGGUGGUAGCUGAUACUGAGUCCAAGGUCAGUGUGG